rnacentral:rRNA from 1 species
GUUUGCUCCUGGCUCAGAGUGAACGCUAGCGGCGUGGAUUAGGCAUGCAAGUCGAGCGCGAAAGUCCGCAAGGAUGAGUAGAGCGGCAAAAGGGUGAGUAAUACAUGGUCAACGUACCCCCGGCACUGGAACAACCGCUGGAAACGGCGGCUAAUGCCAGAUGGCCCCAGAGGAUCGCAUGAUCUCCUGGGUAAAAGGAUGGGACCUUCGGGCCUUCCGGCUAGGGAGCGGACCAUGGGCUAUCAGCUAGUUGGUGAGGUAACGGCUCACCAAGGCUUUGACGGCUAGGCGGUCUGAGAGGAUGGCCGCCCACAUCGGGACUGAGACACUGCCCGGACUCCUACGGGAGGCUGCAGUCGAGGAUCUUCUGCAAUGGGCGAAAGCCUGACAGAGCGACGCCGCGUGAGGGAUGAAGGCCUUCGGGUUGUAAACCUCUUUCGCCCGUUACGAAUGCCUGGGUGUGAAUAGCACACAGGUUGACUAAGGCGGGUAAAGAAGCACCGGCUAACUACGUGCCAGCAGCCGCGGUAAUACGUAGGGUGCAAGCGUUACUCGGAAUCACUGGGCGUAAAGGGUGCGUAGGCUGCCUGCUAAGUUGGAUGUGAAAGCCCUCGGCUUAACCGAGGAACUGCGUCCAAAACUGGCGGGCUUGAGGUUGGUAGGGGACAGUGGAACUCCAGGUGGAGCGGUGAAAUACGUAGAGAUCUGGAGGAACGCCGGUGGCGAAAGCGACUGUCUGGGCCAUUCCUGACGCUGAGGCACGAAAGCCAGGGGAGCAAACGGGAUUAGAUACCCCGGUAGUCCUGGCCGUAAACGAUGAACACUAGCUUGGGGGCGCCUUCGGGCCUCCCUUGCGAAGCUAACGCGUUAAGUGUUCCGCCUGGGGGAGUAUGCGCGCAAGCGUAAAACUCAAAGGAAUUGACGGGGGCUCACACAAGCGGUGGAGCAUGUGGUUCAAUUCGAAGCUACGCGAAGAACCUUACCCAGGCUUGACAUGGACGGAUUAGUUCCCGGAAACGGGAAUGACAGCCUUCGGGUCGGAACGUUCACAGGUGUUGCAUGGCUGUCGUCAGCUCGUGUCGUGAGAUGUCGGGUUAAGUCCCUGAACGAGCGAAACCCCUGUCGUCAGUUGCCAUCACGUAAUGGUGGGGACUCUGACGAGACUGCCGUGGUUAACACGGAGCAAGGUGGGGACGACGUCAAGUCAUCAUGGCCCUUAUGCCUGGGGCUACACACGUGCUACAAUGGGCGGUACAGAGGGUUGCCAAGUCGCGAGACGGAGCUAAUCCCUAAAGCCGUUCCCAGUUCAGAUUGAAGGCUGCAACUCGCCUUCAUGAAGCUGGAAUCGCUAGUAAUCGCGGGUCAGCCACACCGCGGUGAAUAUGUUCCUGAGCCUUGUACACACUGCCCGUCAAGCCACGAAAGCUGGGAGUGCUUGAAGUCGUCAAACGAACCGCAAGGACGCGUGACGCCCAUGGCAAGCUCGGUGAUCGGGACUAAGUCGUAACAAGGUAACCGUA